GCCCACAUUAUGUAGAAAGCUGUUUAUUCUCUUAGAGCACAAUUAUCGCGAUAUAUCAAUACAGUCUCUUGAGGUAAUUGUAAUUAAAAAAUAUUAAAAAGGGAGGAAAGUUGGAGGAGACGGAACAAACUAUCUCUUGAGGAGGCGACCGAACAAACUGUCUCUUGAGGACACGUGUUUGUGUUUUAUGAAACGGAAAAAAAACCGAUCACUUUCUCCUUCUUUUGUGCUCUGGUUUCUCUCUCUCUUCACAAUCAUGGCAGAAACUGAGUCUAAUUGAAGCAGCUGUUUUGUGAAUCGAAAUCGACAAUGAUGAUCAGACAAGCUGCAAAGAAGGCUCUAGGGCUUAGCUCAGACCAAUCUUCGCGACUAGAGAAUCGUCUACAGCGUCAGAAGAUCGAACAGUACAAACUCAUCCUCUCCCCUGUUCUCUCUUCCAACGACCUUCUCCAGUCCAAGCUCUCCUCGAAGGCGUCGCCAUAGCUGGUCUCGUUGGACUAUUGCGUCAACUCGGUGACCUCGUCGAGUGGUCUUGGGAAGGUAAGACCUGCCUGGUGAUGGUAUGCAGCAGCAGUCUCUUUCUCAUUUCAGUUACGUUGAAGAUGGUGGUUAGGCUGGAUGCUGAAGCUUUUCUUCGCUGGGACAGCUACGAUACCAGUUCUUCCCGUAUAUGGGUAUGUGAAUCUCUAUAGUUCAAAAUCAGCGGUUGUAAUCAUUUUUGUUUUUGGUCUUAUUAAAGAUGAGAUGAGGAUGAAGGUUGUAAAGUUGGGUGGAGCUCAAGAGCUUCUUCACAUACUGGGUGCUGCUCAAGAGCUCAAGAGCUUCUUCACCGAGAGAGAGAAGACAGUGAGGGAGAUAGUAUCCUGCGGACGAUAGUAUCAUGCAGACCAGAACAUAUGAUGUUAGCAUCACUUAAGCUUCUUGUGCCUUUCCUUCAUUCUUGUCAUGAUCAUAGUUACACAUACUCUCGAAUGAUUGUUGAUCUGGAAAUUUUAUUAACUCUUUGUUGUCUUGUUCAUGUUUAAGCUUAUGUGUUUUAUAAA